rnacentral:tmRNA from 1 species
GGGGGCGAAUUGGAAUCGACCGGAUAGUCUGAAGUGUAAGUGGCGUGUCGUGGUUGGUCAGUGGGCCACGUAAAAAGCUGACUACAUAAUAAUUGCAGAUGAAAAUCUAGCAUUAGCUGCCUAAUUAAGCGGUAGCUCUGGUUUUUGGGGUUUUGUCGGAGAGCUCUACUAACCGGUAACCAAUUCCGAAUCGCUGCGAGUCAUGUGAAGCACGCUCAAGGCUAAAUUAAGUUCUUCAAUAGUUUCUUCGGUAUCCCGUCAGCAGGAGCCUGAAGCGGUGAAAUACAAAUAGUUGACUACACACGUAGAAGCUUUCAUGGAAAUGUCGCGGCACGCGGGUUCGAACCCCGCCGCCUCCACUU